CUCAAUUCAAAAACUUAUCUAAAACAUGUAGUUACUGGGAAAUUCCAGAUUAAUUUCCUGUAAGUUUUAGUUUGUUAACUAUUGUGUUAAACACUUAAGGGAGCAGCUCCUAGAUGACUAAACCUGCUCAGCUGAAUUCAAAUGCUCUCAUGCUUCCCUGAAGGGACACACACAGAGUCUCUUCACCUGAGGAAUAAAGUAUAAGAUCUUCAGAACUUUUAUUCAGGGGAGAAAGGCCCAGGUAGCUGCUGCUGUUCAGCUUAAGGCUAAUCUGACCUUCUAUAACAGGAGUUCAAGUCCCAGAAAUCCCUGGUCCUCCAUCUGAGGCUUCUCCACUCAUUGCAGGAGAAGAGAGUCUGAGUUGCUCCCUCAUCAAUCAAGUGGAGAGUCCAGGAAGGGAGAUGGGGGCAGUAACCUGCAUGGAGCUGUCACCUCCUAUGAUAACAACAUCUGGAAUACCUCCUGAAGGACAUGCCUGAGGCUGUUUUACAGUUAACUUUUUAAAAAAUACAUAAGUAGAAAGAGUACACUCUAAAAUAAAAUAAAAGGUAUAGUAUAAUAA
rnacentral:lncRNA from 1 species